rnacentral:rRNA from 1 species
UGGGGAAUAUUGGGCAAUGGGCGCAAGCCUGACCCAGCAACGCCGCGUGAAGGAAGAAGGCUUUCGGGUUGUAAACUUCUUUUCUCAGGGACGAAGAAAGUGACGGUACCUGAGGAAUAAGCCACGGCUAACUACGUGCC